AAUCUGUGAGCAGUGCAUGCUGGGAAACCAGGAGGAGGAGUUUGCAGUCAGUUUCCAGCUCCUGUUAUGUAAGCACACAUAGCUGUCAGCUCCUCAGUUUGGACAAUUCUUUCUCCUUUUGCUCAGGCAACGUCUUUUCACAAAGUCUCAGUAAACUCUAUGGAAGUUAA